rnacentral:rRNA from 1 species
ACUCGAGUGGCGAACGGGUGAGUAACACGUGGGUGAUCUGCCCUGCACUUCGGGAUAAGCCUGGGAAACUGGGUCUAAUACCGGAUAGGACGAUGGUUUGGAUGCCAUUGUGGAAAGUUUUUCGGUGUGGGAUGAGCUCGCGGCCUAUCAGCUUGUUGGUGGGGUAAUGGCCUACCAAGGCGCGACGGGUAGCCGGCCUGAGAGGGUGUACGGCCACAUUGGGACUGAGAUACGGCCCAG